GUUGGAAUGUGCUAAUGGGCAGGAUCUCUGCUGCCUUCCUGUCCCCGAACUCACUGGUGGUUUGCCAUGCAGGAAACUCUCUUCUGAUAACGUUAGGGUCAUUACAAACCCCACCACAGCCUGGGAAAAUCCUGAGUCCCCAUCUCUACCUUGCCUUAAACCCCUCCUCUGUUUCACAACAGCUUGUGGGUCUGGAACGGGGCUGGAACGAGCUGGCCACUGAGAGAGAUUUAUUUCGGUUAAACCCAUGUGAGGAGCCAGAAUGUGAGGAGAGCACACAGCGUUCACCAGGAGCACUCGAAUUAACACAACAACUCAGGCGAUCAGAUCCAGUAUCUCCCGUACGGUCCAUGCUGGAGCUCUUUUUGGAUUUGGGACUGCAUCGCCAUCCAUGCUGAUCAGCGCUCCACGGUGGGCAAACAGGAAAUGAAAUUCAAAAGUUCACAGGGCUUUUCCUGUCUAUCUGGCCAGUGCAUCCAAGUUCAGAUUGCUUUCCAGAGCGGUCACAAUGGUGCACUGUGGGAUACCGGCCAGAGGCCAAUACCGUCGAUUUGCAGCCACACUAACCCUAAUCCGACAUGGCAAUACCGAUUUCAGCGCUACUCCCCUCGUCGGGGAGGAGUACAUAAACCGGUUUAAAGAGCCCUUUAUAUCGAUAUAAAGGGCCUCGUUGUGUGGAUGGGUGCAGGGUUAAAUCAGUUUAAAGCUGCUAAAUUCGAUUUAAACGCGUAGUGUAGACCAGGCCAAAGAGAACAAGGGCCGUGAAGAGAGACAGCUCAAACUGGGAAGGUUUGGUCACAGCCAGCACUCCAGAGCUCCCUCCUGACAGCUUACUGUUAUGGCUGUAUCUGUCACGGUAGCGUGGCUGCCAGCGGAAGGGCUAGGGGAUAAAACAGAUUAGCAGAGCAGCUGCAUGAGAGGGGAAAGGAAAGAACCACCAGCUAAUUACACCAUCCCCCCUGUUGCAGUAAAUCCAAUAGGGCCAUUGUGGGCCCCAGUCAGCACCUGCGUUCUCAGGAGUUGGGUGAACUUUUUACCCACUUGGGGGGGUGGCUGAGUGGGUGGAACAAACCAGCCCAGGUUGGGAUGAUGCCAUUCCAGGGUGAGAGUGUUUGCCGGGGGUUCAGUGCAGGGAUUUCUUGUGUAUCGGGCAAGAGGAGACUUGGCAGCUGUGGAUCAACAAGAUGACCAGGGUGAAGAGUGCGAUAGUGCAUUGCAAGGCCAAAGGCCGGGCCUGGUGUUUUCUCUUGGGAGCAGGGGAUAUCGGGGUAGUGACCGUGUUCUGUGUUUCAGAUUGUUCAAUGUGACUAACAAAGUUGUAACCAACCAUGGUACAAUUAAGGACAAGGCCUCUGAAUCUGCAUGUGUAACACACUUGUAAAGUCUGUGUCAUAUCCCCGCGUUGCUGCUGAUCAUUAAUGUCCUAGAUACCAUGCUGUGCAGGGCCCAUCAAAAAUGUCAAAUUCUGUUUUUUCAAUGACAAGUUUAAAUUUUCCAUGUGGAAAAAAAACAUAUUCUGACCAGUCCUGGUACUCUGCUCCUACCCUUUGUGACGCUGGCAAACCAGAAAAGUCCCAGGCCACAGGCCAAUUCACCUGUGUUAGUGUAGAUCAAGGCGAUUGUUAAUGUAUAAGUGUGCAUUCAGAUGUUUAAACUUUAUGAAAACAUAUAUAUCAUUACUUGAAUUGUUCUCACUUAUCUUGUCCUAUUAUAAUGCAACAGCAAACAUUUACAUUUGUGUAUAACUCUGUACCUAAAUUGCCCACCAAAGAAAGCUUGUGAAAUGAAAGGACUUAAGGUCUUUAACAGAAAAUGAUACUUUCAAAACAAGUGGCCAUUGUGUGUGAUGAUCCAGGUCAAGGACUCUUAGUGCAUUCCUCAGUAUCAGUCAUCAAAGAAAAAACCCACAGGGGUACAGACACUGCCAGUUUUCUUUCUGCAUAAAGACACUAUUAAUAUGAAUUCAAAGAAAGAUCCUUUAUCUCUGGACUGCUUGAAUUCUAACAGGGCAAAAUAACUGAAUGAGAACAUGUAGAUCCCCAGUAUUAUUCUGGGUAGCUCUGGAAAAGACUCCUGAGAAACUAGCAAUUUAUUAAUCACUGCCACCACUUGGAAUUCCAAACUGUGAUGCACCUGUUGUUAUAUUUUACCUGCUUUAACUGCUCAAUAAUUCUCGUUCUUUUUUCUCAGCUAAUAAACCUAUAGUUAGUUAACUAUACAA